rnacentral:rRNA from 1 species
GCGCUUGAAUCUCCACCAGCCUGCCAAAUGGCAUUAGUGCCUGCGGGGGAGCGCGGGGACUGGGGGUGCUUGGUUGUCGUCCGCUCGUGUCGUGAGAUGUUGGGUUAAAUCCCGCAACGGGCGCAACCGUCGCGUCUUGUGGCCGUCCUGUCUUGCUGGGCACGCUAUACGAACUGCGCCGGUCUUCGGGGAGGAAAGCGGGGAUGACCUCCUGUCUUCAUGCCCCUUACAUCCUGCGCUACGAGGCUGCUACAAUGGUGGGUACUCUGGAUGCCACUCCGCGAGGUAGAGCUAAACCUCGAACGCCCGGCUGAGUUCAGAUUGGACUCUGCAACUCGACUCCGUGAAAGAGGAAUCGCUAGAAAUCGGGUAUCACCACGACGCGAAGAAGACAUUCCCGGGCCUUGUACACGCCGCCAGUCACACCACGGAAGCCUUGUGUACUCUAAUUCGCUGAC